GUUUAAUAUACACUUAUUGAUACACAAACAAUUUAUGUAUGUUAAAAAAAGGGUGACACUACUUCGCGGAUUUUCACAUAUUGCGGGUGGUCUUGAAACCAAUUAUCCACGAUAAACGUGGGAUUACUGUAUACGCAAAAACCCG